ensembl:snRNA U6 U6 spliceosomal RNA
GUGCUUGCUUCAGCAGCACAUAUACUAAAAUUGUAAUGAUACAGAGAAGAUUAGCACGGCCCCUGCACAAGGAUGACAUGCAAAUUCGUGAAGCAUUCCAUAUUUAU